rnacentral:rRNA from 1 species
CCUUGUACACACCGCCCGUCACACCAUGGGAGUUGGUUUUACCCGAAGCCGGUGCGCUAACCGCAAGGAGGCAGCGGCCGAAGGCAAGCUCGGUGACUGGGGCG